rnacentral:lncRNA from 1 species
GACUUCUAACAAGAAUUAUGGGACUGCGUGGCUUUACACCUCACGCUUCUAUCUAAUUAUGUAUAUGUUAUCCAAUGAGCGCUUACACUUGUCCAAUGUGGGACACUAAUAUGUAUAGUGCUACACUAGCCUAUCUAACACUCCUCCUCAAGGCUGUGCAUACACAUCGUAUGUGCUGAGCUUCCUACAUACAUAACUAACUUGAGGAUGUGCGAGAUAUUUGGUAAAUAUGUCUGCAAGCUGAUCAUUGAACUUUACAGAUCUCGUGACAGUAACUUCUGAGAGUGACUUUUCUGUCAAAGUGACAAUAAAUUUCUAUGAUGUUAGUCCUUUCAUGGAGUACUAAAUUUG